GGCAUUGUGGCCUAAUGGAUAAGGCGUCGGACUUCGGAUCCGAAGAUUGCAGGUUCGAGUCGGCCAGGGUCG
rnacentral:tRNA from 1 species